CAGGGAGGACAGGCCCAGGCAGGAUCUCCCGGAGGGCCCCCCUGCCUGGCCCCUGAACUGGUCCCCCUGGUGUGCAGCUGGCUCAGGAGGGCAGGCGCGGGCCAGGCGCUGCUAAACAGGCAGCCCAACUUCCUCUCCUCUUGCACCGCCCUCACCACCCGCCCUCCCCUGCCUGGCGCCUGAAGGCGGCUGUUUUUCCACUCACUGCUACUGCCCGAGUUCCAUCCUGCUGUUUCCUUCUCUUCCUGGAGUUAAAACUUCUUAGAAAACAGCGCCAGGCCGGCCCAGGCCCUGCUGGUCUCCAGCUCCCUGCUCCAGUGCAGAAGAAAGCGCAAGACAGCCCGAAAGCACUUCGGGUCAGGGCCGCCCUGCAGGCCCACGCUCCGCGGAGGCUGAAGCCACUGGUUGUCGCCCGCAACUAGCCCCAGCACCGCUAAGGAGAGAGCAAGGGCCAGAAUGAUUUGGCCUCUUUUCACAGAUGAGGACACCAAGACCCAAAGAAAAGUCAUGAAGUACAUUGAAAGCCAGGAUCUCCUAAACCAGUCCAGAUGCUGAGGGAGCGCUCGGCCAGCCACUAGAGGGGCUAAGAUGACAAGACCUCGCCCUGCCUUCAGAUGCCUACCAGCCUGCAUGCCUUCUUAGUCCCACCAGGAACCAUCGACCCCAGGCUCCGCCUGCACCUCCCCUUGCAGUCGGUCCCCCAGCCGACUCAUCACCAUGGCAGCCCUGAUUGCAGAGAACUUCCGCUUCCUAUCGCUCUUCUUCAAGAGCAAGGAUGUGAUGAUUUUCAAUGGGCUGGUGGCACUGGGCACAGUGGGCAGCCAGGAGCUGUUCUCUGUGGUGGCUUUCCACUGCCCUUGCUCACCUGCCCGGAACUACCUAUAUGGGCUGACAGCCAUCGGUGUGCCCGCCCUAGCACUCUUCCUCAUCGGUGUCAUCCUCAACAACCACACCUGGAACCUAGUUACCGAGUGCCAGUACCGGAGGACCAAGAACUGCUCGGCCGCCCCCAACUUCCUCCUCCUAAGCUCCAUCCUGGGCCGUGCAGCCGUGGCCCCCGUGACCUGGUCUGUCAUCUCCCUGCUGCGCGGUGAGGCCUACGUCUGUGCUCUCAGCGAGUUUGUGGACCCCUCCUCACUCACAGCUGGGGAAAAGGGAUUCCCACCAGACCAUGCCACGGAAAUCCUGGCCAGGUUCCCUUGUGGGGAGGGCCCUGCCAACCUGUCAGGCUUCCGGGAGGAGGUCACCCGCAGGCUCAAGUACGAGUCCCAGCUCUUCGGGUGGCUGCUUAUCGGCAUGGUGGCCAUCCUGGUGUUCCUGACCAAGUGCCUCAAGCAUUACUGCUCACCACUCAGUUACCGCCAGGAGGCCUACUGGGCGCAGUACCGCGCCAACGAGGACCAGCUCUUCCAGCGCACGGCCGAGGUGCACUCGCGGGUGCUGGCCGCCAACAACGUGCGCCGCUUCUUCGGCUUUGUGGCGCUCGACAAGGACGACGAGGAGCUGGUGGCCAGGUUCCCCGUGGAAGGCACCCAGCCUCGGCCACAGUGGAACGCCAUCACGGGCGUCUAUCUGUACCGCGAGAACCAGGGCCUCCCGCUCUACAGCCGCCUGCACAAGUGGGCCCAGGGUCUGGCGGGCAACGGCACGGCACCAGAAACCGUGGAGAUGGCCCUGGUCGCCUCCUGAGGGACCGGUUCCCGCACUCUUUGCCAGUGACGGUGCCUGGACUCAAACGGAACUCCACCGCCUGCUCACAGCAUCAGAGGGGAUGAUUUUUUUUUAACUUCUUGGGGAAACAGGUCAGAAGCAAGGAACACAAAGCACCCUGGGAUGUGGAGAGCUAGUAGACAACGUGGUCUGCUCCGACAGCAAGGCUCGCAGACCUGAAGAAACGCCCUGUCCUGCUGCCACCAAACACUUGGUCAACCGCUUUGGGGAACAGGCCCUUUCCCAGAACCAAGCCUUAAUUAACUAUGAUGUGGACAACUGCUUACCGGUGGGACUCCCAAGUUGGGAAGCCCCGGCCAGCAGAGCCAGGUGAGCGUGAUAUCCUUGUGCAGGAUAUCGUGCACUUACCGUAUGUGUGAUUGCACGCGGAUACCUGGCUCAGCAGUGCUCAGCCAGGAAGCUGCCCUCCAAUGUAAGCCUCUGGCUUUAUUUUAUAUACUUUAAAUUUUUGAUAAAGUUGUUCCUAGUAUAAACGAGUAGCUUGGUGUCUGCAUUAUUGGAUGGGCUAUGCCACAGCAGGCUGGUGGUCACGGAGACAGGCCCAAAUCCCAUCCCCUUGGGAUUGGCGGGGGGGAUAGAGAGACUCUGAGCAAAAUUAAAAUGGAUGGAAGGGAGGGCAGGGGUGCAGGGAAAGCCAAAUGUUCCCACAUGUGGGAAGGCCCUACGGCUGAUGAUGUCUUGAUAGUUAGAUUCAGUUAUCUGAUUUGAUCUGGGGAACAGAUAAAGCCUGGCCUGUCUCAGAUGGAAGAUCACCUUAAAUUCCAUGAGUCAAAAGACCCAACACUCACUCAGGAGGGUAGACUAGCUCCUAUAACUUAGUGCUAAUGACCAAAAACCAGAAUAGCCCCAGCUCUGCCUCUCCCCACCACCCACACAUGCCUACCUUUGUCUGAUCGCCUCCAUCAUCUCUAAAACCUUUGAUGCUCUCCUUGUCCCUGUCCUGCUUCCCAGCAUUCAACCCAGUUACUUCCCAUAGGAAAGCUCUCCAGUUCUCAGCACAUUUAGAGCGCUGCCAAAGAAAACGUUUAAUCCCCUUAAGACCAGCCAGAAAAGAACUGGCCUCAACAACUGAGUCUGUGCUGGCUUCCAAGAAUUCUGGAACAUACAGGAUUAUUACCAAAGGAGGUGGAGACCACCUUUCUGGGAAAUUUACAAGGGUCCCAGGGAGGCGUGGGUGUGGUGGACCCAACAUGUCCUCUUUCCCUCAGGUCUCAAGGAAAAUCAUCCAGCCAAUCAAUGCCCUCCAUCCAAGGAUCUCUCCCCAUCGGGGCUAUAGGGAGACACAGAAAAACUGUGGUCUCCCCAACUCACACAGCACAGCAAUCUAGGUCCUCACCGAGCCUCCUAACUACCCGGCCCCACCACUAUUCCAAGUAGGACUUUUUGACCCCAUUUCACAAAUGAGGCACCUAACUUAGGAGAGUCUGGAUAAUCUGGGCCUGGUGGGCCUGGGAGGAAACCUCCCAGGUGGUUCAUGUCAAUCCCUGCAGCUUUCCUCUCAGGUACCCGGGUUCCCCAACUGUCCUUUCUGGGGUC